UUCUGCGCUUUUCCCGCCAGCAGCGGGGG
rnacentral:sRNA from 1 species